UUUGCUGCUUAUUCAAAACUAUGUUUUCCACUCAUUUUUUUUGUGGUUUGACACAUUCAGAUUAUCACUUCAUAUUGAAGUUGACCUAUAUGCCUAUUUGCUAAGUUCGAUGACAACAAAUGAAAAUGAUCAAAGAAUAAUGAAGUUAGUACGUUUUGAGAUUUUCCGAAAAGGAGCAAGUUAGGCAGUCUGAUAUUCAAGUCAUCAGAGUUUUAUUGAUGUCACAGCAGUUUGCAAAUCUUAAAUCCUUGUCUGUACACAGUACUGCACGUAAUUACUUUUGCCAACCCCCAACACCUACCUAUCUGUGGUCUGUAAUCAUCAAAUCCAAAAACUUGUAAUCACCAUUAACAUUUGGCAUGUCAUAAUCGUUUAGUAUCUGCUUU